rnacentral:lncRNA from 1 species
CUCCUUCGACGGCGCCGCCUAGGAACGCGGAGAAAAUAUGACAAAGGAACGGCCAAAAAUAAAAAGAAAGACCUUUCUUUUGAAAAAAAAAACAAAAAAAAGGAAUGCAACACGAGGACUUCCCAGGAGGUCACCCAUCCUAGUACUACUCUCGCCCAAGCACGCUUAACUUCGGAGUUCUGAUGGGAUCCGGUGCUUUAUUGCUGGUAUGAUCGCAUCCGACAUACCGUGCGUUCUCCUCCCCUUUAUGCCCGCACCUCCGUGUACGGCCCGCCCAUAGCUCCUUCGACGGCGCCGCCUAGGAACGCGGAGAAAAUAUGACAAAGGAACGGCCAAAAAUAAAAAGAAAGACCUUUCUUUUGAAAAAACAAACAAAAAAAAGGAAUGCAACACGAGGACUUCCCAGGAGGUCACCCAUCCUAGUACUACUCUCGCCCAAGCACGCUUAACUUCGGAGUUCUGAUGGGAUCCGGUGCUUUAGUGCUGGUAUGAUCGCAUCCGACAUACCGUGCGUUCUCCUCCCCUUUAUGCCCGCGCCUCCGUGUACGGCCCGCCCAUAGCUCCUUCGACGGCGCCGCCUAGGAACGCGGAGAAAAUAUGACAAAGGAACGGCCAAAAAUAAAAAGAAAGACCUUUCUUUUGAAAAAACAAACAAAUAAAAGGAAUGCAACACGAGGACUUCCCAGGAGGUCACCCAUCCUAGUACUACUCUCGCCCAAGCACGCUUAACUUCGAAGUUCUGAUGGGAUCCGGUGCUUUAGUGCUGGUAUGAUCGUAUCCGACAUACCGUGCGUUCUCCUCCCCUGAAUGCCCGCGCCUCCGUGUACGGCCCGCCCAGAGCUCUUUAGAUGGGACUUCCGAUGGAAUCGGAGACAAUAGGACAAAGGAACGGCCAAAAAUAAAAAGAAAGACCUUUCUUCCGAAAAAACAAACGCCUCCGUGUACGGCCCGCCCAUAGCUCCUUCGACGGCGCCGCCUAGGAACGCGGAGAAAAUAUGACAAAGGAACGGCCAAAAAUAAAAAGAAAGACCUUUCUUUUGAAAAAACAAACAAAAAAAAGGAAUGCAACACGAGGACUUCCCAGGAGGUCACCCAUCCUAGUACUACUCUCGCCCAAGCACGCUUAACUUCGGAGUUCUGAUGGGAUCCGGUGCUUUAGUGCUGGUAUGAUCGCAUCCGACAUACCGUGCGUUCUCCUCCCCUUUAUGCCCGCGCCUCCGUGUACGGCCCGCCCAUAGCUCCUUCGACGGCGCCGCCUAGGAACGCGGAGAAAAUAUGACAAAGGAACGGCCAAAAAUAAAAAGAAAGACCUUUCUUUUGAAAAAACAAACGCCUCCGUGUACGGCCCGCCCAUAGCUCCUUCGACGGCGCCGCCUAGGAACGCGGAGAAAAUAUGACAAAGGAACGGCCAAAAAUAAAAAGAAAGACCUUUCUUUUGAAAAAACAAACAAAAAAAAGGAAUGCAACACGAGGACUUCCCAGGAGGUCACCCAUCCUAGUACUACUCUCGCCCAAGCACGCUUAACUUCGGAGUUCUGAUGGGAUCCGGUGCUUUAGUGCUGGUAUGAUCGCAUCCGACAUACCGUGCGUUCUCCUCCCCUUUAUGCCCGCGCCUCCGUGUACGGCCCGCCCAUAGCUCCUUCGACGGCGCCGCCUAGGAACGCGGAGAAAAUAUGACAAAGGAACGGCCAAAAAUAAAAAGAAAGACCUUUCUUUUGAAAAAACAAACAAAAAAAAGGAAUGCAACACGAGGACUUCCCAGGAGGUCACCCAUCCUAGUACUACUCUCGCCCAAGCACGCUUAACUUCGGAGUUCUGAUGGGAUCCGGUGCUUUAGUGCUGGUAUGAUCGCAUCCGACAUACCGUGCGUUCUCCUCCCCUUUAUGCCCGCGCCUCCGUGUACGGCCCGCCCAUAGCUCCUUCGACGGCGCCGCCUAGGAACGCGGAGAAAAUAUGACAAAGGAACGGCCAAAAAUAAAAAGAAAGACCUUUCUUUUGAAAAAACAAACAAAUAAAAGGAAUGCAACACGAGGACUUCCCAGGAGGUCACCCAUCCUAGUACUACUCUCGCCCAAGCACGCUUAACUUCGGAGUUCUGAUGGGAUCCGGUGCUUUAGUGCUGGUAUGAUCGCAUCCGACAUACCGUGCGUUCUCCUCCCCUUUAUGCCCGCGCCUCCGUGUACGGCCCGCCCAUAGCUCCUUCGACGGCGCCGCCUAGGAACGCGGAGAAAAUAUGACAAAGGAACGGCCAAAAAUAAAAAGAAAGACCUUUCUUUUGAAAAAACAAACAAAUAAAAGGAAUGCAACACGAGGACUUCCCAGGAGGUCACCCAUCCUAGUACUACUCUCGCCCAAGCACGCUUAACUUCGGAGCUCUGAUGGGAUCCGGUGCUUUAGUGCUGGUAUGAUCGCAUCCGACAUACCGUGCGUUCUCCUCCCCUUUAUGCCCGCGCCUCCGUGUACGGCCCGCCCAUAGCUCCUUCGACGGCGCCGCCUAGGAACGCGGAGAAAAUAUGACAAAGGAACGGCCAAAAAUAAAAAGAAAGACCUUUCUUUUGAAAAAACAAACAAAAAAAAGGAAUGCAACACGAGGACUUCCCAGGAGGUCACCCAUCCUAGUACUACUCUCGCCCAAGCACGCUUAACUUCGGAGUUCUGAUGGGAUCCGGUGCUUUAGUGCUGGUAUGAUCGCAUCCGACAUACCGUGCGUUCUCCUCCCCUUUAUGCCCGCGCCUCCGUGUACGGCCCGCCCAUAGCUCCUUCGACGGCGCCGCCUAGGAACGCGGAGAAAAUAUGACAAAGGAACGGCCAAAAAUAAAAAGAAAGACCUUUCUUUUGAAAAAACAAACAAAAAAAAGGAAUGCAACACGAGGACUUCCCAGGAGGUCACCCAUCCUAGUACUACUCUCGCCCAAGCACGCUUAACUUCGGAGUUCUGAUGGGAUCCGGUGCUUUAGUGCUGGUAUGAUCACAUCCGACAUACCGUGCGUUCUCCUCCCCUUUAUGCCCGCGCCUCCGUGUACGGCCCGCCCAUAGCUCCUUCGACGGCGCCGCCUAGGAACGCGGAGAAAAUAUGACAAAGGAACGGCCAAAAAUAAAAAGAAAGACCUUUCUUUUGAAAAAACAAACAAAAAAAAGGAAUGCAACACGAGGACUUCCCAGGAGGUCACCCAUUCUAGUACUACUCUCGCCCAAGCAAGCUUAACUUCGGAGUUCUGAUGGGAUCCGGUGCUUUAGUGCUGGUAUGAUCGCAUCCGACAUACCGUGCGUUCUCCUCCCCUUUAUGCCCGCGCCUCCGUGUACGGCCCGCCCAUAGCUCCUUCGACGGCGCCGCCUAGGAACGCGGAGAAAAUAUGACAAAGGAACGGCCAAAAAUAAAAAGAAAGACCUUUCUUUUGAAAAAACAAACAAAAAAAAGGAAUGCAACACGAGGACUUCCCAAAAUAUGACAAAGGAACGGCCAAAAAUAAAAAGAAAGACCUUUCUUUUGAAAAAACAAACAAAAAAAAGGAAUGCAACACGAGGACUUCCCAGGAGGUCACCCAUUCUAGUACUACUCUCGCCCAAGCAAGCUUAACUUCGGAGUUCUGAUGGGAUCCGGUGCUUUAGUGCUCGUAUGAUCGCAUCCGACAUACCGUGCGUUCUCCUCCCCUUUAUGCCCGCGCCUCCGUGUACGGCCCGCCCAUAGCUCCUUCGACGGCGCCGCCUAUGAACGCGGAGAAAAUAUGACAAAGGAACGGCCAAAAAUAAAAAGAAAGACCUUUCUUUUGAAAAAACAAACAAAAAAAAGGAAUGCAACACGAGGACUUCCCAGGAGGUCACCCAUCCUAGUACUACUCUCGCCCAAGCACGCUUAACUUCGGAGUUCUGAUGGGAUCCGGUGCUUUAGUGCUGGUAUGAUCGCAUCCGACAUACCGUGCGUUCUCCUCCCCUUUAUGCCCGCGCCUCCGUGUACGGCCCGCCCAUAGCUCCUUCGACGGCGCCGCCUAGGAACGCGGAGAAAAUAUGACAAAGGAACGGCCAAAAAUAAAAAGAAAGACCUUUCUUUUGAAAAAACAAACAAAAAAAAGGAAUGCAACACGAGGACUUCCCAGGAGGUCACCCAUCCUAGUACUACUCUCGCCCAAGCACGCUUAACUUCGGAGUUCUGAUGGGAUCCGGUGCUUUAGUGCUGGUAUGAUCGCAUCCGACAUACCGUGCGUUCUCCUCCCCUUUAUGCCCGCGCCUCCGUGUACGGCCCGCCCAUAGCUCCUUCGACGGCGCCGCCUAGGAACGCGGAGAAAAUAUGACAAAGGAACGGCCAAAAAUAACAAGAAAGACCUUUCUUUUGAAAAAACAAACAAAAAAAAGGAAUGCAACACGAGGACUUCCCAGGAGGUCACCAAUCCUAGUACUACUCUCGCCCAAGCACGCUUAACUUCGGAGUUCUGAUGGGAUCCGGUGCUUUAGUGCUGGUAUGAUCGCAUCCGACAUACCGUGCGUUCUCCUCCCCUUUAUGCCCGCGCCUCCGUGUACGGCCCGCCCAUAGCUCCUUCGACGGCGCCGCCUAGGAACGCGGAGAAAAUAUGACAAAGGAACGGCCAAAAAUAAAAAGAAAGACCUUUCUUUUGAAAAAACAAACAAAUAAAAGGAAUGCAACACGAGGACUUCCCAGGAGGUCACCCAUCCUAGUACUACUCUCGCCCAAGCACGCUUAACUUCGGAGUUCUGAUGGGAUCCGGUGCUUUAGUGCUGGUAUGAUCGCAUCCGACAUACCGUGCGUUCUCCUCCCCUUUAUGCCCGCGCCUCCGUGUACGGCCCGCCCAUAGCUCCUUCGACGGCGCCGCCUAGGAACGCGGAGAAAAUAUGACAAAGGAACGGCCAAAAAUAAAAAGAAAGACCUUUCUUUUGAAAAAACAAACAAAAAAAAGGAAUGCAACACGAGGACUUCCCAGGAGGUCACCCAUCCUAGUACUACUCUCGCCCAAGCACGCUUAACUUCGGAGUUCUGAUGGGAUCCGGUGCUUUAGUGCUGGUAUGAUCGCAUCCGACAUACCGUGCGUUCUCCUCCCCUUUAUGCCCGCGCCUCCGUGUACGGCCCGCCCAUAGCUCCUUCGACGGCGCCGCCUAGGAACGCGGAGAAAAUAUGACAAAGGAACGGCCAAAAAUAAAAAGAAAGACCUUUCUUUUGAAAAAACAAACAAAAAAAAGGAAUGCAACACGAGGACUUCCCAGGAGGUCACCCAUCCUAGUACUACUCUCGCCCAAGCACGCUUAACUUCGGAGUUCUGAUGGGAUCCGGUGCUUUAGUGCUGGUAUGAUCGCAUCCGACAUACCGUGCGUUCUCCUCCCCUUUAUGCCCGCGCCUCCGUGUACGGCCCGCCCAUAGCUCCUUCGACGGCGCCGCCUAGGAACGCGGAGAAAAUAUGACAAAGGAACGGCCAAAAAUAAAAAGAAAGACCUUUCUUUUGAAAAAACAAACGCCUCCGUGUACGGCCCGCCCAUAGCUCCUUCGACGGCGCCGCCUAGGAACGCGGAGAAAAUAUGACAAAGGAACGGCCAAAAAUAAAAAGAAAGACCUUUCUUUUGAAAAAACAAACAAAAAAAAGGAAUGCAACACGAGGACUUCCCAGGAGGUCACCCAUCCUAGUACUACUCUCGCCCAAGCACGCUUAACUUCGGAGUUCUGAUGGGAUCCGGUGCUUUAGUGCUGGUAUGAUCGCAUCCGACAUACCGUGCGUUCUCCUCCCCUUUAUGCCCGCGCCUCCGUGUACGGCCCGCCCAUAGCUCCUUCGACGGCGCCGCCUAGGAACGCGGAGAAAAUAUGACAAAGGAACGGCCAAAAAUAAAAAGAAAGACCUUUCUUUUGAAAAAACAAACAAAAAAAAGGAAUGCAACACGAGGACUUCCCAGGAGGUCACCCAUCCUAGUACUACUCUCGCCCAAGCACGCUUAACUUCGGAGUUCUGAUGGGAUCCGGUGCUUUAGUGCUGGUAUGAUCGCAUCCGACAUACCGUGCGUUCUCCUCCCCUUUAUGCCCGCGCCUCCGUGUACGGCCCGCCCAUAGCUCCUUCGACGGCGCCGCCUAGGAACGCGGAGAAAAUAUGACAAAGGAACGGCCCAAAAUAAAAAGAAAGACCUUUCUUUUGAAAAAACAAACAAAAAAAAGGGAAUGCAACACGAGGACUUCCCAGGAGGUCACCCAUCCUAGUACUACUCUCGCCCAAGCACGCUUAACUUCGGAGUUCUGAUGGGAUCCGGUGCUUUAGUGCUGGUAUGAUCGCAUCCGACAUACCGUGCGUUCUCCUCCCCUUUAUGCCCGCGCCUCCGUGUACGGCCCGCCCAUAGCUCCUUCGACGGCGCCGCCUAGGAACGCGGAGAAAAUAUGACAAAGGAACGACCAAAAAUAAAAAGAAAGACCUUUCUUUUGAAAAAACAAACAAAAAAAAGGAAUGCAACACGAGGACUUCCCAGGAGGUCACCCAUCCUAGUACUACUCUCGCCCAAGCACGCUUAACUUCGGAGUUCUGAUGGGAUCCGGUGCUUUAGUGCUGGUAUGAUCGCAUCCGACAUACCGUGCGUUCUCCUCCCCUUUAUGCCCGCGCCUCCGUGUACGGCCCGCCCAUAGCUCCUUCGACGGCGCCGCCUAGGAACGCGGAGAAAAUAUGACAAAGGAACGGCCAAAAAUAAAAAGAAAGACCUUUCUUUUGAAAAAACAAACAAAAAAAAGGAAUGCAACACGAGGACUUCCCAGGAGGUCACCCAUCCUAGUACUACUCUCGCCCAAGCACGCUUAACUUCGGAGUUCUGAUGGGAUCCGGUGCUUUAGUGCUGGUAUGAUCGCAUCCGACAUACCGUGCGUUCUCCUCCCCUUUAUGCCCGCGCCUCCGUGUACGGCCCGCCCAUAGCUCCUUCGACGGCGCCGCCUAGGAACGCGGAGAAAAUAUGACAAAGGAACGGCCAAAAAUAAAAAGAAAGACCUUUCUUUUGAAAAAACAAACAAAAAAAAGGAAUGCAACACGAAGACUUCCCAGGAGGUCACCCAUCCUAGUACUACUCUCGCCCAAGCACGCUUAACUUCGGAGUUCUGAUGGGAUCCGGUGCUUUAGUGCUGGUAUGAUCGCAUCCGACAUACCGUGCGUUCUCCUCCCCUUUAUGCCCGCGCCUCCGUGUACGGCCCGCCCAUAGCUCCUUCGACGGCGCCGCCUAGGAACGCGGAGAAAAUAUGACAAAGGAACGGCCAAAAAUAAAAAGAAAGACCUUUCUUUUGAAAAAACAAACAAAAAAAAGGAAUGCAACACGAGGACUUCCCAGGAGGUCACCCAUCCUAGUACUACUCUCGCCCAAGCACGCUUAACUUCGGAGUUCUGAUGGGAUCCGGUGCUUUAGUGCUGGUAUGAUCGCAUCCGACAUACCGUGCGUUCUCCUCCCCUUUAUGCCCGCGCCUCCGUGUACGGCCCGCCCAUAGCUCCUUCGACGGCGCCGCCUAGGAACGCGGAGAAAAUAUGACAAAGGAACGGCCAAAAAUAAAAAGAAAGACCUUUCUUUUGAAAAAACAAACAAAAAAAAGGAAUGCAACACGAGGACUUCCCAGGAGGUCACCCAUCCUAGUACUACUCUCGCCCAAGCACGCUUAACUUCGGAGUUCUGAUGGGAUCCGGUGCUUUAGUGCUGGUAUGAUCGCAUCCGACAUACCGUGCGUUCUCCUCCCCUUUAUGCCCGCGCCUCCGUGUACGGCCCGCCCAUAGCUCCUUCGACGGCGCCGCCUAGGAACGCGGAGAAAAUAUGACAAAGGAACGGCCAAAAAUAAAAAGAAAGACCUUUCUUUUGAAAAAACAAACAAAAAAAAGGAAUGCAACACGAGGACUUCCCAGGAGGUCACCCAUCCUAGUACUACUCUCGCCCAAGCACGCUUAACUUCGGAGUUCUGAUGGGAUCCGGUGCUUUAGUGCUGGUAUGAUCGCAUCCGACAUACCGUGCGUUCUCCUCCCCUUUAUGCCCGCGCCUCCGUGUACGGCCCGCCCAUAGCUCCUUCGACGGCGCCGCCUAGGAACGCGGAGAAAAUAUGACAAAGGAACGGCCAAAAAUAAAAAGAAAGACCUUUCUUUUGAAAAAACAAACAAAAAAAAGGAAUGCAACACGAGGACUUCCCAGGAGGUCACCCAUCCUAGUACUACUCUCGCCCAAGCACGCUUAACUUCGGAGUUCUGAUGGGAUCCGGUGCUUUAGUGCUGGUAUGAUCGCAUCCGACAUACCGUGCGUUCUCCUCCCCUUUAUGCCCGCGCCUCCGUGUACGGUCCGCCCAUAGCUCCUUCGACGGCGCCGCCUAGGAACGCGGAGAAAAUAUGACAAAGGAACGGCCAAAAAUAAAAAGAAAGUCCUUUCUUUUGAAAAAACAAACAAAAAAAAGGUAUGCAACACGAGGACUUCCUAGGAGGUCACCCAUCCUAGUACUACUCUCGCCCAAGCACGCUUAACUUCGGAGUUCUGAUGGGAUCCGGUGCUUUAGUGCUGGUAUGAUCGCAUCCGACAUACCGUGCGUUCUCCUCCCCUUUAUGCCCGCGCCUCCGUGUACGGCCCGCCCAUAGCUCCUUCGACGGCGCCGCCUAGGAACGCGGAGAAAAUAUGACAAAGGAACGGCCAAAAAUAAAAAGAAAGACCUUUCUUUUGAAAAAACAAACAAAAAAAAGGAAUGCAACACGAGGACUUCCCAGGAGGUCACCCAUCCUAGUACUACUCUCGCCCAAGCACGCUUAACUUCGGAGUUCUGAUGGGAUCCGGUGCUUUAGUGCUGGUAUGAUCGCAUCCGACAUACCGUGCGUUCUCCUCCCCUUUAUGCCCGCGCCUCCGUGUACGGCCCGCCCAUAGCUCCUUCGACGGCGCCGCCUAGGAACGCGGAGAAAAUAUGACAAAGGAACGGCCAAAAAUAAAAAGAAAGACCUUUCUUUGAAAAAACAAAGAAAUAAAAGGAAUGCAACACGAGGACUUCCCAGGAGGUCACCCAUCCUAGUACUACUCUCGCCCAAGCACGCUUAACUUCGGAGUUCUGAUGGGAUCCGGUGCUUUAGUGCUGGUAUGAUCGCAUUCGACAUACCGUGCGUUCUCCUCCCCUUUAUGCCCGCGCCUCCGUGUACGGCCCGCCCAUAGCUCCUUCGACGGCGCCGCCUAGGAACGCGGAGAAAAUAUGACAAAGGAACGGCCAAAAAUAAAAAGAAAGACCUUUCUUUUGAAAAAACAAACAAAUAAAAGGAAUGCAACACGAGGACUUCCCAGGAGGUCACCCAUCCUAGUACUACUCUCGCCCAAGCACGCUUAACUUCGGAGUUCUGAUGGGAUCCGGUGCUUUAGUGCUGGUAUGAUCGCAUCCGACAUACCGUGCGUUCUCCUCCCCUUUAUGCCCGCGCCUCCGUGUACGGCCCGCCCAUAGCUCCUUCGACGGCGCCGCCUAGGAACGCGGAGAAAAUAUGACAAAGGAACGGCCAAAAAUAAAAAGAAAGACCUUUCUUUUGAAAAAACAAACGCCUCCGUGUACGGCCCGCCCAUAGCUCCUUCGACGGCGCCGCCUAGGAACGCGGAGAAAAUAUGACAAAGGAACGGCCAAAAAUAAAAAGAAAGACCUUUCUUUUGAAAAAACAAACAAAAAAAAGGAAUGCAACACGAGGACUUCCCAGGAGGUCACCCAUCCUAUUACUACUCUCGCCCAAGCACGCUUAACUUCGGAGUUCUGAUGGGAUCCGGUGCUUUAGUGCUGGUAUGAUCGCAUCCGACAUACCGUGCGUUCUCCUCCCCUUUAUGCCCGCGCCUCCGUGUACGGCCCGCCCAUAGCUCCUUCGACGGCGCCGCCUAGGAACGCGGAGAAAAUAUGACAAAGGAACGGCCAAAAAUAAAAAGAAAGACCUUUCUUUUGAAAAAACAAACAAAAAAAAGGAAUGCAACACGAGGACUUCCCAGGAGGUCACCCAUCCUAGUACUACUCUCGCCCAAGCACGCUUAACUUCGGAGUUCUGAUGGGAUCCGGUGCUUUAGUGCUGGUAUGAUCGCAUCCGACAUACCGUGCGUUCUCCUCCCCUUUAUGCCCGCGCCUCCGUGUACGGCCCGCCCAUAGCUCCUUCGACGGCGCCGCCUAGGAACGCGGAGAAAAUAUGACAAAGGAACGGCCAAAAAUAAAAAGAAAGACCUUUCUUUUGAAAAAACAAACAAAAAAAAGGAAUGCAACACGAGGACUUCCCAGGAGGUCACCCAUCCUAGUACUACUCUCGCCCAAGCACGCUUAACUUCGGAGUUCUGAUGGGAUCCGGUGCUUUAGUGCUGGUAUGAUCGCAUCCGACAUACCGUGCGUUCUCCUCCCCUUUAUGCCCGCGCCUCCGUGUACGGCCCGCCCAUAGCUCCUUCGACGGCGCCGCCUAGGAACGCGGAGAAAAUAUGACAAAGGAACGGCCAAAAAUAAAAAGAAAGACCUUUCUUUUGAAAAAACAAACAAAUAAAAGGAAUGCAACACGAGGACUUCCCAGGAGGUCACCCAUCCUAGUACUACUCUCGCCCAAGCACGCUUAACUUCGGAGUUCUGAUGGGAUCCGGUGCUUUAGUGCUGGUAUGAUCGCAUCCGACAUACCGUGCGUUCUCCUCCCCUUUAUGCCCGCGCCUCCGUGUACGGCCCGCCCAUAGCUCCUUCGACGGCGCCGCCUAGGAACGCGGAGAAAAUAUGACAAAGGAACGGCCAAAAAUAAAAAGAAAGACCUUUCUUUUGAAAAAACAAACAAAUAAAAGGAAUGCAACACGAGGACUUCCCAGGAGGUCACCCAUACUAGUACUACUCUCGCCCAAGCACGCUUAACUUCGGAGUUCUAAUGGGAUCCGGUGCUUUAGUGCUGGUAUGAUCGCAUCCGACAUACCGUGCGUUCUCCUCCCCUUUAUGCCCGCGCCUCCGUGUACGGCCCGCCCAUAGCUCCUUCGACGGCGCCGCCUAGGAACGCGGAGAAAAUAUGACAAAGGAACGGCCAACAAUAA